UACGGUUACAUCACGUGGAAAUACCGGUUCCCGUACGUUCACCGAAGUUAAACAAUGUAGAACCUGGUCAGUAUCGAGAUGGGUAACCAAUUGAGAAUAAAGGGUGUUGUAAG